CCUACGGGAGGCAGCAGUGGGGGAUAUUGGAGAAUGGGGGAAACCCUGAUCCAGCGACGCAGCGUGAGUGAAGAAGUAUUUCGGUAUGUAAAGCUCUAUCAGCAGGGAAGAAAGAAAUGACGGUACCUGAGUAAGAAGCCUCGGCUAACUACGUGCCAGCAGCCGCGGUAAUACGUAGGGGGCAAGCGUUAUCCGGAAUUACUGGGUUUACAGGGUGCGUAGGCGGAAUAUCAAGUCAGCGGUAAAAAUUCGGGGCUCAACCCCGUCGUGCCGUUGAAACUGAUGUUCGUGAGUGGGCGAGAAGUAUGCGGAAUGCGUGGUGUAGCGGUGAAAUGCAUAGAUAUCACGCAGAACUCCGAUUGCGAAGGCAGCAUACCGGCGCCCAACUGACGCUGAAGCACGAAAGCGUGGGUAUCGAACAGGAUUAGAUACCCCAGUAGUC
rnacentral:rRNA from 1 species